AUUGAACGCUAGCGGGAUGCCUUACACAUGCAAGUCGAACGGCAGCACGGACUUCGGUCUGGUGGCGAGUGGCGAACGGGUGAGUAAUGUAUCGGAACGUGCCAAGUAGCGGGGGAUAACUACGCGAAAGCGUAGCUAAUACCGCAUACGCCCUACGGGGGAAAGCAGGGGAUCGCAAGACCUUGCACUAUUAGAGCGGC
rnacentral:rRNA from 1 species